rnacentral:rRNA from 1 species
CCUACGGGCGGCAGCAGUGGGUAAUAUUGGACAAUGGGGGCAACCCUGAUCCAGCCAUGCCGCGUGUGUGAAGAAGGCCCUCGGGUUGUAAAGCACUUUCAGUGAGGAAGAACGCCUGGUGGUUAAUACCCAUCAGGAAAGACAUCACUCACAGAAGAAGCACCGGCUAACUCCGUGCCAGCAGCCGCGGUAAUACGGAGGGUGCGAGCGUUAAUCGGAAUUACUGGGCGUAAAGCGCGCGUAGGUGGCUUGAUAAGCCGGUUGUGAAAGCCCCGGGCUCAACCUGGGAACGGCAUCCGGAACUGUCAAGCUAGAGUGCAGGAGAGGAAGGUAGAAUUCCCGGUGUAGCGGUGAAAUGCGUAGAGAUCGGGAGGAAUACCAGUGGCGAAGGCGGCCUUCUGGACUGACACUGACACUGAGGUGCGAAAGCGUGGGUAGCAAACAGGAUUAGAUACCCGUGUAGUC